UGUUUACAUGCUGAUCCCUUGUUCCUUUGAUGUUAAAAGUUGUACUUUUGAUAUGUUUUUGCCUAUAUUUUUAAAAAAAAUACUGC